GGGAGAUCCCAUGACGAUCUUCGGACCUCAAGGCUAUAAAGGCAGCAAAGGAGAGCAGGGUGAAAGGGGCCCUUCAGGAUUUGAUGGAGACAAAGGCGAGAAAGGGGAGGAUGGACCCCCGGGAGAAAAGGGGGUGAAAGGAGAGGCAGGAGUGAAAGGUUCCAUGGGGCUGUUCGGCACACGAGGUCCAGUGGGGCAGAAGG